UACGGUGAAUACGUUCCCGGACCUUGCAUACACCGCCCGUCAAGCCAUGGAAGCCGGGUGUACCUAAAGUCGGUAACCGUAAGGAGCCGCCUAGGGUAAAACUGGUGACUGGGGCU
rnacentral:rRNA from 1 species